UUGUUAGAAAGCACUAUUCGGAGAAACAUUUUUCAAAAUGGCGGAUAUCCUGAAAAAAAACGCUCGUACAUCCUUAAGUAACAAAAAGGUGCAUUACAGCUACAGAGUCCUAGACUGACUCCUAUCUAUUUACAUUCUGGUAUCUGUGGAGAGCAUCAGGGGAGGUAGCUAGUGUCAUAGACUGGGAUGAGCAUUGUACAGAAUGGGAAGACAACAUUGCAACGAAUCCAGUCACAGUCAGCAUGCCCAGUCACGCAGAAUCCUGCAUUUUUCACGCAGAAAACACAAUGUGCACGCAAAUUUUUCGAUGGCCGUGCGUGCAGGAACGCAUAUUUGUUGUGGCCGGCAAAUAAACGAAUUCGGCUCAAAAAUUGGUGGUCACUAACCUAAAACCCGGGAAACGCUUGCUUUUGAACAGAAAACCAAUAAGCUUCCAGCGGCAAACAUCUGCGCGAUCUAGAUUACUCCAAAUACAUCACUAACAAAAAUGGCAGACGAGCAUGAAAAACUUCAUUCUGGGUGGAAAUAUUAAAUUGACCUCAGUGCCAUAUGAAAGGCCGGGUUUUCACUACAAAAUAGGCAUCAUACAGCAUUAGUUCCUGCAGGCGUACUGUUAAUAAUGUGCAGAACAGAAUGGUCAUCGAGUACUACUGUAAGCAAAUGCCUAAGCCAGAGAAAAAGCUGCUGAAGCAUUUAGGCCUUAGACAUUCGUAAUAGUUAAAUACUGUUCUUUAUGCCUUAGCAGCAUAUAGUAAACAGGCUAGGCCUAUAUAAAUACAGUAUGACUGAGUUUACUGAAUAAAUACUGUAAACAUUAUCUAAUAUCUGUUGCUUUUAGUUUUCAUACCAGUACAUAUGUUCAUGUUUUGGGAAAAUUCAGUGUACCCAGAUUUUUUAAGCCUGUACCCACUUUUUCCAAAAGUAGUGGGUACAGGUACCCACUUUUUAAAAAUCCUGUGGGCAUGCUGACAGUGGAACAUGUAUAGAGGGAGCAACACCGGAAAGAGUCAAGUGUGGUUGCUGUAAAGAGGACAGUGUGUUUUUUGGAAUUUGGUUGUAGUGGAAGAUUUGUGAUUACCAGAGAAUAAACCAGUACAGAGGUUAAUCUAGUGA
rnacentral:lncRNA from 1 species